CCUACGGGUGGCUGCAGUGAGGAAUAUUGGUCAAUGGGCGGAAGCCUGAACCAGCCAAGUCGCGUGCAGGAUGACGGCCCUAUGGGUUGUAAACUGCUUUUAUACGGGAGUAACGCCCCUUACGUGUAGGGGUUUGCAUGUAACGUAUGAAUAAGGACCGGCUAAUUCCGUUCCAGCAGCCGCGGUAAUACGGAAGGUUCGGGCGGUUUCCGGAUUUAUUGGGGUUAAAGGGGGCGUAGGCCGGAUGUUAAGGGUGCUGUGAAAUGUCCGGGCUCAAACCCGGACUUGCCGCGGAAACUGGGGUGCUUGAGUGAGCGGGAAGCAGGCGGAAUUCGUGGUGUAGCGGUGAAAUGCUUAGAUAUGACGAAGAACCCCGAUUGCGAAGGCAGCUUGCUGCAGCGGAACUGACGCUGAUGCACGAAAGCGCGGGUAUCGAACAGGAUUAGAUACCCUUGUAGUC
rnacentral:rRNA from 1 species